rnacentral:rRNA from 1 species
GUUGCCGGCCAGAGGGCGCGGGAACCACCCGUUCCCAUUCCGAACACGGAAGUUAAACCGCGCUCCGUCCCCGGUGGUAGUGCGGUCU